rnacentral:rRNA from 1 species
UACGGGGGGUGCGAGCGUUGUCCGGAAUCACUGGGCGUAAAGGGCGCGUAGGUGGUUUGAUAAGGGUGUGGUGAAAGUCCGGGGCUCAACCCCGGAUCUGCCGUGCCGACUGUCAAACUCGAGGGCUGUAGAGGCAGACGGAAUUCCGGGUGUAGCGGUGGAAUGCGCAGAUAUCAGGAGGAACACCAAUUGCGAAGGCAGCUCGCUGGGACGUUACUGACGCUGAGACGCGAAAGCGUGGGGAGCAAACAGG